rnacentral:rRNA from 1 species
UACGGGGGGGGCAAGCGUUGUUCGGAAUUACUGGGCGUAAAGGGCUCGUAGGCGGCCAACUAAGUCGGACGUGAAAUCCCUCGGCUUAACCGGGGAACUGCGUCCGAUACUGGAUGGCUUGAGUAUGGGAGAGGGAUGCGGAAUUCCAGGUGUAGCGGUGAAAUGCGUAGAUAUCGGAAGGAACAUCAGUGGCGAAAGCGACUUCCUGGACCAAUACUGACGCUCAUGUGCGAAAGCGUGGGGAGCAAACAGG